UGUCCCGCCACUGUGAUAAACACCAAAGUUUGCUUGUCAAGAGUGUACUGUAUAUGUAUGUACUGUAGGCCUAUACAGUGCUUAUGUCUAUGCGGACUUCGGAUCUUUACCCAUGUGUACUUGCGUCAAUCGUGUGCCUCAAACAUCCGGAUUGACCUGCACACUGAAAAGUGCGUAUACAUUUCAUCCGGCCCUAUAUGUAUUUGAAGCCUAUUGAGGCUGUACGCCAUACAGUGAUAAGCCUACAGCGCAUACCUCUAACCCUUAUACAGAUUCAUGUACCGCUGCGUAAUACUGCUGGUGGGAUUGUCACCUAUGACAGACAACUGCUUGGUUGGUCGCGUUGUAUGACAAGACGCGUAAACACUGAUCUUCUAAAGCCAUGUUGCCUGGAGGGAUGGACUGUUGGCCAGUGGUUUUAUUUCUGAUGUCAUUUCACCAGAUUCACAUGACAACAGUGAGCCCGACUGACGGGGGGUGCUUCAAGAAUGUCAGUACGCGCCAAGAUGUCUAUACCAUGACUGUUCAUAAGAAGGCACACUCGGGAUGGUGGUUCUGGAAAAAGACGACGAUUAUAUAUCGGUAUAUAUUGAAUUGUAUAACAAGU